AAAAUUGCGAUGAUGAGAAGAGUAAUUUCUAAGUAGUUUGUCCAGAGAAGGUCGUUAGCUGAGAAGACCGCAAAUGAAAAGAAACGAAGAUGAGCUCUGAGCAUUAAUCAUUGUGCAAGCAAUGGUUACGGGUAGACUCGUUAUGGUCUCACUUGCUAACUGGGUAAGUGAUGGAGGUACUGUUUGUAAGAAGAGUACAAAUUAAGGUGGUAACGCGAAGCUUUCGUCCUUGAA
rnacentral:ncRNA from 1 species